rnacentral:lncRNA from 1 species
AUAAAAACUUAUUAGGAAUAAAAAAAUAUACGAGAAUCUUAUUUUUAUUCAUUCUAAUAUUAAGAAUGUAAUAUUUCGAUGUUUGAUUCGUACGGUCAUAUUAUUUAGUCAUAUUAUUUAAUAUUAUAAAAAAUAUAAAAUUUAUUUAUUUAUUUUUAAAAUUAAUUUUAAAUAAUACUGUAAAAAUUUUCAAUAUCUUUUUAGAAAAAAAAAAUAGAGAAUAUAUGUUAGAAAAAGAGUAUAAUUAAAGAAAUAGGAAGAGAAAUAAAAUCGAGAUUAGAUAGAAUAAGAGGGUUGAGAUUUUAGAAAAAGAGGAAGAGAAAUAGCUUAGUUUAAAAAGAGAAAAAAAGUUGAAGUUCAGAGAGAGAGAGAUAAGUUUAGAGAGAUAUAAGGUUAUAGUGUAAAGAAAAAUAAUACCAACUAGCCGACGGGUGAGAAGAAAGAAAGACAUUAGAUAUAUUAUAAUUAUCCCAAUCUAUUAAUAUAAGGAUACACACCCUCAUUCAAAGGAAUAAGAUUAGUACUUUGAGAUGCAUCUCAUUUCUAAGUAAAUCCAUUAUUACCAAUUAAAUUACUUACUGCGUUUAGCCAAACACCGUUAUAUUUUUAUAUUUCUAUUGGAUUACUAAAAAAUUUAAAAAGAUAGCGCGAACUAAACGCAUCCUACAUGUGGUGCAAAAAUACGAUAAAAAAAUAUUUUAUUUAAUUUUUUUAUAUAAUAUUAUAUUUUAUAUAUCACGAUAAGUCGAUUAUAAUAUAUUUUUUAUAAUUUUAUCAAAAAAUACAGAAAUAUAGUUUUAUAUAUUUUUACUCUAAUUUUAUUUUAUCUGAUAACGUCGUAUCAACUUCAAA